AGGACGAACGCUGGCGGCGUGCUUAACACAUGCAAGUCGAGCGGUAAGGCCCUUUCGGGGGUACACGAGCGGCGAACGGGUGAGUAACACGUGAGCAAUCUGCCCUUCACUUCGGGAUAAGCCUCGGAAACGGGGUCUAAUACCGGAUAUGACCGCGCUACGCAUGUGGUGUGGUGGAAAGUUCUGGCGGUGGAGGAUGAGCUCGCGGCCUAUCAGCUUGUUGGUGGGUAAUGGCCUACCGAAGGCUUCGACGGGUAGCCGGCCUGAGAGGGUGACCGGCCACACGUGGGACUGAGACACGGCCCAGACUCCGUACGGGAGUAGCAGUGAGGAAUAGUUGGACAGUGGACGAAAGCCUGAUCCAGCAACGUCCGCGUGGAGGAUCGACGGUCCGUUACGGGUUACUAAACCGUUC
rnacentral:rRNA from 1 species